CCUACGGGUGGCAGCAGUGGGGAAUAUUGCACAAUGGGCGAAAGCCUGAUGCAGCAACGCCGCGUGAAGGAAGAAGGGUUUCGGCUCGUAAACCUCUAUCAUCAGGGACGAAAGAAAUGACGGUACCUGAAUAAGAAGCCCCGGCUAACUACGUGCCAGCAGCCGCGGUAAUACGUAGGGGGCAAGCGUUAUCCGGAUUUAUUGGUUGUAAAGGGUGCGUAGGCGGGAUGCCAAGUCAGAGGUAAAAUGGCGGGGCUCAACCUCGCUCCGCUGUUGAAACUGGCGUUCUUGAGUGGGCGAGAGGUAUGCGGAAUGCGUGGUGUAGCGGUGAAAUGCGUAGAUAUCAGGCAGAACACCGAUUGCGAAGGCGGCAUACCGGCGCGCAACUGACGCUGAGGCACGAAAGCGUGGGUAUCGAACAGGAUUAGAUACCCGGGUAGUC
rnacentral:rRNA from 1 species